UGAGGAAUAUUGGUCAAUGGGCGAGAGCCUGAACCAGCCAAGUCGCGUGAAGGAAGACAGUCCUAAGGAUUGUAAACUUCUUUUAUACGGGAAUAACGGGCGAUACGAGUAUUGCAUUGAAUGUACCGUAAGAAUAAGCAUCGGCUAACUCCGUGCCAGCAGCCGCGGUAAUACGUAUGGGGCGAGCGUUGUCCGGAAUUAUUGGGCGUAAAGGGUACGUAGGCGGCCUAUUAAGUCAGGUGUGAAAGCGUGAGGCUUAACCUCAUUAAGCACUUGAAACUGGAAGGCUUGAGUGAAGGAGAGGAAAGUGGAAUUCCUAGUGUAGCGGUGAAAUGCGUAGAUAUUAGGAGGAAUACCGGUGGCGAAGGCGACUUUCUGGACUUUUACUGACGCUCAGGUACGAAAGCGUGGGGAGCAAACAGGACUAGAUACCCUGGUAGUCCACGCCGUAAACGAUGAAUGCUAGGUGUUGGGAGUCAAAUCUCGGUGCCGAAGUUAACACAUUAAGCAUUCCGCCUGGGGAGUACGGUGGCAACACUG
rnacentral:rRNA from 1 species